rnacentral:lncRNA from 1 species
UUUAUGUCCAUCCCCAUUUCUUUAUCACAAAGAUAAUUAUCAUUUCUAUAAAAUAACCAUAUCACACACAUUAAAAAUAUAUCUAUAUUAUAUAUUAUACAAUUAAAAAUAUCAAAUUUUUUAAAAUAUCUAUUAGAAAUUUAUUCAUUAAAAAUAAAUAUAUUACAUAUUAAUUUUUAUAAUAAUUUUAAAUAGCAUAUUCAUACUGCUCUAUCAAUCAUUCUAUUAAACAGUUUAGCAAAAGCAUACAGCUCCUGAAGCAUACUGCUACUGCUAAUGCUAGUGCUUUACCAAUCAAGGCCUUAGUCUUUUUUUUU